UCUAAAGUGGUGUAAUGGUAACAUUCCAAGGUGACAUAUGGGGAAGCUAAGCGCGGAACUAUGCCCGAAAGGGAUGAAGGGGAUCCGGGUUCGAAUCCCGGCUUUAGAA